UACUGUGUAGGCAGAAUCUUUGAAUCUUUCAACUCGUGCACUCUAAUUUCAUUAAUUGAGUGCAUAAUCUACCAUCCCUCGAGGACUGUGUGGCUGAUCCCUCAUCCCCCCGGACUCAAACUGUUUCAGGCACAUUAUUGUCACUGGUGGAAGAAGAAUGCAGAUUCUUCACUUAAGAAAAAGUAGCAAUUAACAGUAUAGAAUACUACAUUAAAAGACAAAGUCCUGCAUUCAAAGCUCCACUAAACUAAUAGACAAUAUGUAUUAUCUGCUAAAUUUACUUAUAGGCUACUGAAGACAUUUUUGCUUAACCAAGUAAGCAGCAUGCUUCAUCUGGUCAAGGUGGAACUAAGAAGCUCUUGAAAACUCAUCUCUUCCUAGAUGGCUUCCUCUUAUAACGCCUAACAUGCACUUAUUGUGCUCUUCUUCUUCUUAUCUCCUUACUACCUCUCUUGUAUUGUUUGCACUAUUUGUUAACUAUUCUUUCCCUAGGUAUUUACCCCAUGCCAUUAGCGCUAAUAGCUCUUACUAAUAUAUUGUCUCUUGUCGAUCUCUUACUGUAUUGAUGCUCAAAUGUAAGUCACUUUGGAUAAGUAACUAGUAACUAUAGCUGUCUAACACACAGGUCCAUGAAAACGAAGCAGCAAAAUGGAAUUCAGCCAUCAUCAAUAAUAUAAAUAACACCUUUGAUUUUCCUACUGUGACAUGUCAAACUCUCCUAUUUGUAACAUUUCACUGAUGCAAGCCAGAACACCAGAACCCCUCAGGGAUUUCAAACAAUUAUGAGACUUCAUAUCGGGAGGAAAUCAACAAUCUUGCAGAGUGGUGCACAGAGAACAACCUACUGCUCAACGUCAGCAAAACCAAAGAGCUGAUUGUGGCUUCAUGAAAGAGGAGGUAAAGACACACACCUCUGUCUACAGUGGAGCUGAGGUGGACAGGUUUAUGUUCCUGGACAUCAGCAUCAUGGUCUUCUCACAUCUCCAUGCUGGUGGAGAAAACUCAGAAACGGCUGUAUUUGUUAAGGAAACAGAAAGCGUUCUGACUGGAAACUUCAUCUUCAUCAUUGCAAACUUCUCUGCAGCAGAUUGCCUUGCAAGUGGCUGCAGCCCAUCAAGGCCGGAAAAACACAACAAGAACAGUUUCUUCCCGACUGCAGCUGGCCUCAUCAACACGGCCCAGGACCCCUACUGACACUGACUGUUUAGCUGCCCCACAGGCACUACAUGUUACAUUAGCAUAAAGUUUCCAUAUCUGACUUUUGCAUUACAUUAACAGCCAUUUUUUGGACUGUCAUCUCUGCAGAUCGCACAUAUUCUUCAUACUGUGAAUAUUGAGACAUUUCCUGGCCCCCAGCUUUUUAUUUAAAAAUCAUAUUACAUAUUUUUCAUGUUUUU